UGGGGAAUUUUGGGCAAUGGCCGAAAGGCUGACCCAGCGACGCCGCGUGCGGGAGGAAGCCCUUCGGGGUGUAAACCGCUGUCAGGGGGGACGAAAGCGUGCGGGGCUAAUACCCUCGUGCAGUGACGGUACCCUCAAAGGAAGCACCGGCUAACUCUGUGCCAGCAGCCGCGGUAAGACAGAGGGUGCGAGCGUUGUUCGGAAUUACUGGGCGUAAAGCGCGCGCAGGCGGAUCCUGCAAGUCGGAAGUGAAAUGUGGCUGCUCAACGGCCACGCUGCUUCUGAUACUGCGGAUCUGGGGACCGGUAGAGGCUGGUGGAAUUGCAGGUGUAGCGGUGGAAUGCGUAGAGAUCUGCAAGAACACCCGUGGCGAAGGCGGCCAGCUGGGCCGGAUCCGACGCUGAGGCGCGAAAGCGUGGGGAGCAAACAGG
rnacentral:rRNA from 1 species